CAAUAUCCCAAAGCUGCGUUUAUGAAACGCAGCUCAAAUGGUUGAAUUGAUCUGCGUGUUGUAGAACGCGACUUAAACCUGAGCAUGAAGCUGCGUUUCGUAAACGCAGUUUGAACUUUUAUAGAGCUGCGUUUUAUAGUAAACGCAGCUUGAACUUUUACAGAGCUGCGUUUUAUAAAACGUAGCUCUGGGCUUGUUUUUUUUUUUUAAAAAAAAACCCUCAAUAGGACACAAGAACGAAAAAAACCCUAAAUUGAAAAAACUCUCAGCUCACUCUCACCACCAAACUCAGAUACAAACCCUCACUCUCUAUCACUCUCAACACCAUUCGUUACCGCCGCCUCUCAUCGACGCCACCACCACCUCCGAGAGCCGAUUGCCACCACCACCACGUCAAACCUCUCUGUCAGCCAUCAUAGGUCAAAGGGAAUUGUGAAAAGGAGUAGAGAACAGACUCGUGCAAUCUCGAGCGCUGUGAGAUGUGCUCUAAGCGAAGUUUAAUUAAAUUAGUUUUUAAUUCGUGCCCUCUAAUCUUCUCUGGGUUUUUUAUUAUUAUUUGGGAGGAGGACCACAUACCCUUUAGAAACUCAAAGCUUACCAUAUUGUGGAUCCAUUACAUUGGUAAGAUUAGUGUGUUUAGUUAGGUUACUUUGCAUAAUGAGUUGUUUCUUGUUGAUUUAGAAGUAUUGUUUGUUGUUUGACUUAGUCUUUUACCUGUACUUAAAGUAUUAUUUUGUUUUACAUUGGAUAUUGGAAUGCCCAUGAUAUUGUAGAUGGGGAAACAUAGCUUUAUCACAAAGCAUUAUAUUAAUCUGACAAGUCAUCAAAAUUGGUUGAAGGGUAUGUGACUCUCUUUUGGGAUGUGGAAUUUUAUCAUUUUGCUGCAAUUGCUUCUUAAGCUCCCUAUUUUAUGGGAUCAAAUCACAUUUUCUUUUUGCCUUUUUAAGUAGUGUUAACAGUUCAUUGGUAAAUUUUGUGGCUGUGGCAAUUUAUCAAUUCUUGAAUAAAUGUUUUUACUGUUUUUCCAUGUGGAUUCAGUUAUAGAAAAGGAAAUUGGAGCAUUGCAAUUAGAAGUAUGUGAAGAGCUUCCAAAUUAUCCUCAUCUCCUCUUUAUAAGUUUGUGUUGUUAUCUCUCACAUAAUUUUAAAUCAUGUUAGGAAAAGAAGCUUGUUUCUCACAAAUCAAGCAGGCUUCUUUAAUUGCAUUUAUUAAUUGUACUUUGUAAAAUAAUUGCACUUGUUUAUACUUUUUUUCUUAAGUGAAUUACCAUUGGACUUAUGAAAUUUAGGAGCAGUUUAAUCCUUUUACUUAUCCAGGGAUGUCCCUAAUAUUUUUUAAAUGGCUUGUUUGUCUGAGUUUGAUUGUCAUUUUGUAAAUGCAUGCAAUGGAUUUGAACCAACUUGAUAAUUUUGAGCCACUAGUUACAGACUUCUGGGUUUCUGGUGGUAAAGCUAGAAAGAUUGAGAAGAAAUGAUGUCAGAUAUCCUAAGUUCUUACAAGUUUAGAUGGACACCUUAUUAGGUUUAUUUGCUUUAUAAAUCACCAAUUAUAGGAUUUUGGAAUGAGUAAUGGCAAAAUUUUCUUUUUAUUUUCUC